ACGGACGCUGGCGGCGUGCUUAACACAUGCAAGUCGAACGGAAAGGCCCUGCUUUUGUGGGGUGCUCGAGUGGCGAACGGGUGAGUAACACGUGAGUAACCUGCCCUUGACUUUGGGAUAACUUCAGGAAACUGGGGCUAAUACCGGAUAGGAGCUCCUGCUGCAUGGUGGGGGUUGGAAAGUUUCGGCGGUUGGGGAUGGACUCGCGGCUUAUCAGCUUGUUGGUGGGGUAGUGGCUUACCAAGGCUUUGACGGGUAGCCGGCCUGAGAGGGUGACCGGCCACAUUGGGACUGAGAUACGGCCCAGACUCCUACGGGAGGCAGCAGUGGGGAAUAUUGCACAAUGGGCGGAAGCCUGAUGCAGCAACGCCGCGUGCGGGAUGACGGCCUUCGGGUUGUAAACCGCUUUCGCCUGUGACGAAGCGUGAGUGACGGUAAUGGGGAAAGAAGCACCGGCUAACUACGU
rnacentral:rRNA from 1 species